UCGGGAAUUUUGGGCAAUGGGCGAAAGCCUGACCCAGCAACGCCGCGUGAGGGAUGAAGUAUUUCGGUAUGUAAACCUCGAAAGAAUGGGAAGAAUAAAUGACGGUACCAUUUAUAAGCUCCGGCUAACUACGUGCCAGCAGCCGCGGUAAUACGUAGGGAGCAAGCGUUGUUCGGAUUUACUGGGCGUAAAGGGCGCGUAGGCGGCGCGGUAAGUCACUUGUGAAAUCUCUGAGCUUAACUCAGAACGGCCAAGUGAUACUGCUGUGCGAGAGUGCGGAAGAGGCGACCGGAAUUCUUGGUGUCGCGGUGAAAUGCGUAGAUAUCAAGAGGAACACCUGAGGCGAAGGCGGGUUGCUGGGCCGACACUGACGCUGAUGCGCGAAAGCCAGGGGAGCAAACG
rnacentral:rRNA from 1 species